UUUACAGUGCUGAAAAAGAAGCGUGGCAUUGAACGGCAUGCACCAGCUAAAGGGCUGCAAGCAGUGAGUCAUGCAGUCUCAGACUGCAGUGUCCCUAGGCCUGCAGAAUUAACAAAAUAUAUGUGUAUAUAUAUAGCAUUGGUUCCAAAAGGAAUCAGAACAGCCCAGAAGUGUCCAAAUUAAGCACUCAUGUUCCACCUGCAGGUCUCCAUCCAGCCUGCAUUCUCAGGGAAAGUGUAGGUACUUCCUUCUUGGUGGAGGGAUACCAACUAGCUCCUGUCUCAUUUCCUUUCUUUAAUGACCACCUUUGGUUAAAUGUGUUGUUUCUUUGUUCUGAUACAAGCAGUCUUUGAAUUUGGAAUAUUACAAUGGAGAAAAAAAAAGUGCGUUCGCUACAUACAAGGUGAAGGCAGCUGCCUCAGCCCACCCUCUUCAGAUGGAAGCUUACUAGAUUCGCCUCCCCCCUCCCCCAACCUGCUAGGCUCCCCUCCCCGAGAC
rnacentral:sRNA from 1 species